GCACAGCCCAGCAGACACGGACUGUAAACACGAGUGAGAGAGAAGAAGAUAGUUUUAUACCGGAGAGGAACGUCUGAGCAGCCGUGUUUGUACUGAUAAACUAGCAAAGCUCUUAAGUCUCACUUAUUGGGCCUGAUGUUAGUCACUGAUGUUCGUGUGUGUGAGCCACGGCAGACGCCACUUCCUCCUGUGCCAUGCUAUUGUUAGCUUCUCAAACACGGUAGCUCUCUGAAUAGAUACUUUGAAACCGCCAGCCACCGAGUCGAUAUUGACCUCAACCUGUUCAAUUCUCCAUCUGGAAAACUGCGGAUUCUGUGUCAUGCUGUGGAUGGAAGCUAAGCUCUGACCACUCGGUUCGAAGGAGAAUCAACAGAAGUUUAAAUGACAUGGAUGGCAGCACUGCACAACAACAGGGAAGUGAUGAAGUUAUCGUCCAAACAGAUGAGCAAAGAGCUGAAUAUUCAAUAAUUGCACAGAAAAAUAAUGAAGAUUCCAGCAAAGCAAAACAGCAGCAAGCAGAACCUUCCAUGACAGCACAGGAACAUGAUGAAGAUGCCAGCCAGACAUGCAAACAUAGAGCAGAGACACACAAUAAGUCUACAGGUGACUCUCUUACUGGUCGGAAUCUUUCUCUGUGUGCCAUGCUCAUCACUCCUUUCUGUCUCUUUAUCGUUUUUUGUUAUUAUUGACAAGGGUUUUUUCCCCAGGAAAGUGAUGAAGAUGCCAGAAAAACAAAUGAGCUGAGAGCAGAAACUUCAACAAUAAGCCAUGUAAGACAAAAGUAUUGUUUUCUGUCUCUUUCAAAUUACAGCCUCUAAAGCCUUGUUCCUGUCCCAGACUCAGUGCUCCCCUUCUAGUCUCUUUUUUAAAUGAAUAUUGGGCAUGUGUGUUCUUCCAAGGAUAGUGAUGAAGACAGCCAAACAGAAGAGCAGAAACUUUUAAUGAAGCACAGGUGAGACGAAACUACAACCAUUACUCUUUUUCUGUCUCUGAAACUACACAACCUUCACAGUCUUAUCUCCUCUUCUUUUUCUGAUGUUUUUGAUGACUAAUGGACUUUUGUUCUUCCUCUAUGGCCCAUCAUGUUCACAAAAGAGCUCUCAGAGCAAUGAUGACGCUGGCAGCCAAACAGAAGUGCAAAGAGCAGACCUAUAAACAUUGGAACAGGUGAGAUUAAACACAAUUAAGUUCAUUCUAUUAUCUGGUGUGUCAAUAUUCGUACAAGUGGGAGAUUGUUCCUGAAAGAGUGUGUGUGUGUGUGUGUAUCCAUGGGUGUUUGCAGUCCGUAUGGCCCAGGGGAAGAAGCUGUUUGUCAGUCUGCAUGUGUGAGAUUUUGUUGACCUGUAGCGUCUUCCAGAGGGCAGCAGGUCGAACAGGGGGUGAGCAGGGUGUAAGGGGUCUCCUGUGAUGGCCUUGGUUCUCCUGAGGCAGCAGGAUGUGGCGAUGUCUUCCAGGCUGGGCAGAGGGCAGCCGAUGAUUUUUUGGGCAGUGUUAAUGACCCUCUGCACUGCCUUCCUGUCCUUGACUGUUGAGCCUGCGUACCACACACCCAGACAGUAUGUCAGCACGCUCUCCACAGAGGAGUGAUAAAAGGCC
ensembl:lncRNA